rnacentral:tRNA from 2 species
GGCAAGAUGGCCGAGUGGUUAAGGCGGCAGACUCAAGUUCUGCUGAAGCAAUUCGCGUGGGUUCGAAUCCCACUCUUGUCA